GCUACCCUGGCUCAGUUGGUAGAGCAGCUGAUUCGUAAUCAGCAGGUCGGGGGUUCGAGUCCCCCGGGUAGCUCCA
rnacentral:tRNA from 1 species